GCCUGGUUGGCUCAGUCGGUGGAGCGUAUGACUUCGGCUCAGGUCAUGAUCUCACGGUUCAUGGGUUCGAGCCCCACGUCGGGCU
rnacentral:tRNA from 1 species